rnacentral:rRNA from 1 species
UACGUAGGUCCCGAGCGUUGUCCGGAUUUAUUGGGCGUAAAGCGAGCGCAGGUGGUUUAUUAAGUCUGGUGUAAAAGGCAGUGGCUCAACCAUUGUAUGCAUUGGAAACUGGUAGACUUGAGUGCAGGAGAGGAGAGUGGAAUUCCAUGUGUAGCAGUGAAAUGCGUAGAUAUAUGGAGGAACACCGGUGGCGAAAGCGGCUCUCUGGCCUGUAACUGACACUGAGGCUCGAAAGCGUGGUGAGCAAACAGG